rnacentral:rRNA from 1 species
UACGUAGGUGGCUAGCGUUGUCCGGAUUUACUGGGCGUAAAGGGCGCGUAGGCGGCCACCGCAAGUCGACUGUGAAAUCUCCGGGCUUAACCCGGAAAGGUCAGCCGAUACUGCGGGGCUAGAGUGCAGAAGGGGCAACUGGAAUUCUCGGUGUAGCGGUGAAAUGCGUAGAUAUCGAGAGGAACACCUGCGGCGAAGGCGGGUUGCUGGGCUGACACUGACGCUGAGGCGCGAAAGCUAGGGGAGCGAACGGG